rnacentral:rRNA from 1 species
AUUGAACGCUGGCGGCAGGCCUAACACAUGCAAGUCGAGCGGAUGACGGGAGCUUGCUCCUUCAUUCAGCGGCGGACGGGUGAGUAAUGCCUAGGACUCUGCCUGGUAGUGGGGGACCACGUUUCGAAAGGAACGCUAAUCCCGCAUGCGUCCUGCGGGAGAAAGCAGGGGACCUUCGGGCCUGGCGCUAACAGAUGAGCCUGGGUCGGAUUAGCUUGUUGGUGAGGUAAUGGCUCACCAAGGCGACGAUCCGUAACAGGUCUGAGAGGAUGAUCAGUCACACUGGAACUGAGACACGGUCCAGACUCCUACGGGAGGCAGCAGUGGGGAAUAUUGGACAAUGGGCGAAAGCCUGAUCCAGCCAUGCCGCGUGUGUGAAGAAGGUCUUCGGAUUGUAAAGCACUUUAAGUUGGGAGGAAGGGUUGUAGAUUAAUACUCUGCAAUUUUGACGUUACCGACAGAAUAAGCACCGGCUAACUCUGUGCCAGCCGCCGCCGUAA